rnacentral:rRNA from 1 species
UACGUAGGCAGCGAGCGUUGUUCGGAAUUACUGGGCGUAAAGAGUGUGUAGGCGGUGCUCCCAGUCUGUUGUGAAAUCUCCCGGCUUAACUGGGAGGGUGCAGCGGAAACUAGAGUGCUAGAGGGUGGGAGAGGUAAGCGGAAUUCCUGGUGUAGCGGUGAAAUGCGUAGAUAUCAGGAGGAACACCUGUGGUGUAGACAGCUUACUGGACCAUUGUUGACGCUGAGACACGAAAGCGUGGGUAGCAAACAGG